rnacentral:lncRNA from 1 species
GCACAAUAUCUACUGAUUUCUUAAUUUAGGAAUUCAAAAGUUGGAUUUACUUUUAAGUGAACAAUAACAUAGGGACGCUUUUUGAUAUUUGUUGCAUAAUUCUAUCUAAAUCAUAGCAAUAAAUUUUCAAAAACAUAUAAUGUUGUUAAACAAUUACCUUAUUAGUUCUACUUUUUUUCACCAGAUAAUUUUGAUAUUGAACUUCAAUAAAUGUCUCAAAG